GCAGAGGAAGACACACAGCUCAGAAAGCCUACUCCCUGACUGCUUUUCCCCCCGCUGAAGAUGGAACCCUCCGAAAGAAGUUUGGUUCGGCAACCGGCAGAGCUUAAAGUUUGCAAAUAUCCUCUCAAGUGGAAGAAUUAUACACAGAGAUCUUUAGGAAAACUGUGACAGAACAACUAAACAUGGCUGCCGGCCACCACGCGGGGAAAGCUGUAGGUGGUGCCUCACGCAGCACUCACCCAGAAACCGGAUCCAGAACACCUGGGCUGAACGAGGGACGCGCCCCACGGCACAGCCCCCGUGUCUUUAUUUUUAUUGUCUAUCUCCUAUAUUCCAGACCCACAAGGGAAGAUGUCUGUUUUGUUGACUGC
ensembl:lncRNA